rnacentral:lncRNA from 1 species
CGUGAUAGUUGGGCUGUACCAGAAAGAAUGUCCUCUUCCUUCCAGAUUUCUUCUCAAGCCGUGAGAACCCAGGCCUGGGGCUUCAGGUGGCCACGUGCCAGCAGGUGCAGACACCUGUCCAAGGACUACGUCCACCCAAACUGGGAAAGACGGAAGGGAAGAAGCCAGGACAGGAGGGGAGAUAUGGAAAGAACUGCCCACUGCCCUGGCCCCUGGCUCCAGCCACCGUGCCUGAUGCCACCAGUUUCUGCCCCUGCCGGGGAGGCGACAGGUUCCCUCCCCAGGAGGCUGCACCGAACCCCCUCCCCAAGCUCACACUUGCAAGUCUUCCUCCUGGCACCUCGGGAAGGGACUUUACUUGGAAAUCCAGGCCUUUGCAGAUGGCAGCGGCUCAGACGAGGCUACCCGGGGGCGGGGCGAGCCCGAAUCCACAGGACCGUGGCCACCGGGAGAACGGAGGCGAGGACAUGACGGUCGCAGCAGCAAGCAGGAGCUGGGGCGGGGGGUCGUGCAGCGCGCCCCUCCCGUGGUCUCAGAUGGCCUCUGAGCCCCUCCCCCUCUCUGGGAAAGUAAGCUGGCGCCGGGCCCCCCGAGAAUACACCCCUGUUGGCCCGCGGCGGCGAGCUCGGUGGCCCAGGGAGGCGUGCACUCCCCGCGGGCUGCCCCAGCCCCGGUGUCCUCCACAAGGGAGGCGCAUGUGCGUGUCCACACCCCCCCACGCUGGGAACAGACCCAGUGCCCUUAGACAAGGGCAUGGACAAGCCAGCUGUCCGUUCACAUGGUGGACAGCCACCCAGUGGUGGAAGGAGCAAGUCCCCGAGACGCGCGCCGUGGAGGGAACCUCGACUGUCAGGCCUCUGAGCCGGAGGCGUGCUGCAGGAUCCCAACCCAAUCCAGUGUACGUGGCGUGUGCAGCGCGCACCUGCCGAGUGGGCUUCGAGUCUGCAAGCCAGACACGGGAGGCGAGUGGUGUGGAGGCGGCCCGGGUCAGGCGGGGGCAGCGGAGCCGAGAGCGACAGGGAGCUGUUCACGAGGAGACACAGUUUCUGGAUCUUUCCUCUUCUCCUCCACGUGGUGACUCUCGGGGGGCUCCCGCGCGAUGCCAGUCAGCUUCCGAGGCACAGAAACGCGCAUACGCGGUGGACGAGAUCGCAUCUCGCCUUCCAGGGGGAGACCCGUCUGGGAGAGACACGCGUCCAGCGCGCCAGGCUGCGCUCGGGUGGGGUCUCCCGGGGCGGGGGAGCCUCGCCGGGGCUGCCCUGCUCCUCGCUCCACCUUCUUGGCCCCAGUUCUCAGACCCGUGACGCCUCGCACCUGCCACCUGCCGCCGCCCUGCAGCCACUGCCUGGCAUCUUGGGUCCCCAGGGUGGGCCUGGGUGCUGUGCCCGGGUGCUGUGCCUGUGGCCCCGUGGGGAUGAGGGAGAUGGGAAGGGGAGACUGAGAGCCG